rnacentral:tRNA from 1 species
GGAGGUAUAGCUCAGUGGUAGAGCACUUGCCUAGAACGUAUGAGUUCCUGGAUUCUACCUUUG